GAUGAACGCUGGCGGCGUGCCUAAUACAUGCAAGUCGAGCGAACGGACGAGAAGCUUGCUUCUCUGAUGUUAGCGGCGGACGGGUGAGUAACACGUGGAUAACCUACCUAUAAGACUGGGAUAACUUCGGGAAACCGGAGCUAAUACCGGAUAAUAUUUUGAACCGCAUGGUUCAAAAGUGAAAGACGGUCUUGCUGUCACUUAUAGAUGGAUCCGCGCUGCAUUAGCUAGUUGGUAAGGUAACGGCUUACCAAGGCAACGAUGCAUAGCCGACCUGAGAGGGUGAUCGGCCACACUGGAACUGAGACACGGUCCAGACUCCUACGGGAGGCAGCAGUAGGGAAUCUUCCGCAAAGGGCGAAAGCCUGACGGAGCAACGCCGCGUGAGUGAUGAAGGUCUUCGGAUCGUAAAACUCUGUUAUUAGGGAAGAACAUAUGUGUAAGUAACUGUGCACAUCUUGGCGGUACCUAAUCAGAAAGCCACGGCUAACUACGUG
rnacentral:rRNA from 1 species